GGGAACUCUAAGUAAAUUUCUCGGUAAUUUCGUUAGACGUGAUUUCGUUGGCUACCAGCGACCUGCCGUUCCACAGCUUUCUGAAUUAUACAUUUUCCUCGUCCCGCUUUUAUAAAGUUGUUAGAAUUCGGGGCUUGUGAGAGUAACCAGUGUCUCAUAGGAACUAUACCAACUAACUAGACUGUGCAAGCCUAAAAUUGUUAGUUUGCUUUUCUUCUUACGAAAUAUAGAUCGAACCUCUUUCAAAUUGAGAUUCAAACACCUGUCAUUAAAUAUAGACAAUGUAGACAACACAAUGGAUGAAUAAAUAUAAAAUAACAUUGCCCCGUCCUGAAACAACAAACGACGAAACGCAGCGACGCAUUAUUCUACGAUGGCUAUUACGCUGUCCAAGCAGCGAGCGAUGUAGCAGCUUCAAUUGCCGAAAGGAACGCGCGACCGCAUCGCAACAGGAGGAGGAACAGGCAGGAGAACAAGCGAUGUACUCGCGAAGGGCGGAGUAUUAUGUUUCUGAACCGUCGAACGCAUUGAGAUUUAUUACCGACGAGCCUGGUGAAAGUCGGCGUAUCGCGUGUCAUAAGCGCGGGAGGAUCUGGCUGUUGUAAUGGGAUCAAAUCGUCGACCACGCUCUCGCAGGUAUACGUACGUUCGAUUUCAAUGAUAUACCUCGUUCGUCUUCGUUACGCCUCUCGAUUUGGCAUUUUCUAGUUGCUAGAACACACGUAUCGUAAAGUGAAGGGUUGAGAUAGUGUUCCGUGAUAUAUAGAGUUUAAAUGGAAUUCGUUGCUGGCUCAUAGAUAGAAGUUAAUAGGAGACGUACGAG
rnacentral:misc_RNA from 1 species